rnacentral:misc_RNA from 1 species
GAUGAAGAACGUAGCGAAAUGCGAUAAGUAAUGUGAAUUGCAGAAUUCAGUGAAUCAUCGAAUCUUUGAACGCACCUUGCGCUCCUUGGUAUUCCGAGGAGCAUGCCUGUUUGAGUGUCAUGAAAUUCUCAACCUUUUCAGCUUUCUUUGUUGAUCAGGCUUGGAUGUGGGAGUAUGCGGGCUUCUCAGAAGUCGGCUCUCCUGAAAUGCAUUAGCGGGACCUUUGUUGCCUGGCUUUGGUGUGAUAAUUAUCUCCGCCAUUGUAGUCAAGCAGCUUAAAAUGAGGUUUCAGCUUCUAACCGUCUCCCCUGAGACAACUUUUUGACAAUUUGACCUCAAAUCAGGUAGGACUACCCGCUGAACUUAAGCAUAUCAAUAAGCGGAGGA